CGUAGGGUGCAAGCGUUAGUCGGAAUUACUGGGCGUAAAGCGUGCGCAGGCGGUUAUGUAAGACAGAUGUGAAAUGCCCGGGCUUAACCUGGGAACUGCAUUUGUGACUGCAUGGCUAGAGUUUGGCAGAGGGGGGUAGAAUUCCACGUGUAGCAGUGAAAUGCGUAGAUAUGUGGAGGAACACCGAUGGCGAAGGCAGCCCCCUGGGUCAAGACUGACGCUCAUGCACGAAAGCGUGGGGAGCAAACAGGAUUAGAUACCCUGGUAGUCCACGCCCUAAACGAUGUCUACUAGUUGUCGGGUCUUAAUUGACUUGGUAACGCAGCUAACGCGUGAAGUAGACCGCCUGGGGAGUACGGUCGCAAGAUUAAAACUCAAAGGAAUUGACGGGGACCCGCACAAGCGGUGGAUGAUGUGGAUUAAUUCGAUGCAACGCGAAAAACCUUACCUACCCUUGACAUGGCUGGAAUCCUUGAGAGAUUGAGGAGUGCUCGAAAGAGAACCAGUACACAGGUGCUGCAUGGCUGUCGUCAGCUCGUG
rnacentral:rRNA from 1 species